GGGGAUGUGCCCCUCCCUACCUCCCCCCCCCCCGGUUCCUACGCCCUAUAGAAAUAAAGCCUUUUUCCAUUCUGACAACUUGAGCAGUUGAAAAGUAAGAUGGGGGCUUUAAAGUCCCUCUAUUGAACACAGGCAGCAGUGAUUGUGGUGUUUUAGUUUAAAUUUAAGUUUACAAUGCAUUAAAAUCUAAUAUGUAUAUAAAAAUGGAGAGAAAGGAAGUAGAGAGAAUGUAUCAGGUUGCUAAAUUAUAAUGGGGGGUUACCCAUACACUUAAAUUACUAAUAAGAAAAGAAAACACAUACAAGAAUUCCAAAAGGUAAAAGAAUGUCUAACAGCAUUCACUUUAAGGAUCUUGUAUAUUAUCAGCAACCCUAA